AAAUUGAAGAGUUUGAUCAUGGCUCAGAUUGAACGCUGGCGGCAGGCCUAACACAUGCAAGUCGARCGGUAACAGGAAGCAGCUUGCUGCUUYGCUGACGAGUGGCGGACGGGUGAGUAAUGUCUGGGAAACUGCCUGAUGGAGGGGGAUAACUACUGGAAACGGUAGCUAAUACCGCAUAACGUCGCAAGACCAAAGAGGGGGACCUUCGGGCCUCUUGCCAUCGGAUGUGCCCAGAUGGGAUUAGCUAGUAGGUGGGGUAACGGCUCACCUAGGCGACGAUCCCUAGCUGGUCUGAGAGGAUGACCAGCCACACUGGAACUGAGACACGGUCCAGACUCCUACGGGAGGCAGCAGUGGGGAAUAUUGCACAAUGGGCGCAAGCCUGAUGC
rnacentral:rRNA from 1 species